rnacentral:antisense_RNA from 1 species
CAGAGAGAAGUAGAAAGAUACACUGGGAAGAAAACAUGGCAUUCCAAAGUCAGAAUUAGAAGCCCUUCUUCUAAAGAGGACUGUUUAUUUUCCAUUUCAUUGGCAUAGCCGAUGGGGAAUUUCCUGCACUCUUCCCUGAACAUAAACUGUUAAGAUGGAUGGAGACAGAAAGAGCUUCCUAUAGGUUGAGAAAAAUUAACCUCUCUGUACCUGAGAAAGAAGCAGAAAUGAUUGUACUUCUCACCUAGAAAUUGAAAUGGAAAAGCAGUUUUUAACUCAGAACAAAGAGACCUGAAGUUUCAUGCUCUUUGCAGGCAGAAAGAUACGCCUUGGAGAGAAACAAGAUUGAGAGCCAGGAGCAGUGGCAUGCAUUAACCAUGUUUGUGGUAGAUUCUCAGGUUUCUACUGGAAACAGACAAACCACCUCUUCUUCUCUCUGCUCAAGAUCCUAGCACAAAUGAAGCACAAGCACAGAGU